ensembl:lncRNA
GUUGCUUUGUAGAACUGUUCCAGAAAACCUCACUAAACCACAUGGAGGGGCCUCAAGAUGUCCAAAUGAAACCGUACAAAAACCAAACGAGCACAACCCAAAUGCUAAAGUCUCCUGCAGCCUACCAGAGAACCUCUGAGAACAGAGAAUCAGGACAGGAACUCUUACCUUCUGGACAACCAACGCUGGUUCUCAAGCAAGAAUACAGGAUGUGUCUGACCAAAAACCUCUGAAGACUCACUACAGCCAAGAUAAAGACACAACUCAGCUGCACCAAAUCCACUAAUCACUGCACACAUUAGCACCAUGUGCUAACUGUGGCUAAAGAACCACAUUUACCAAGACAACUAUCCAGUACAAAGCCCUAAAACACACCAAGAAACACAUUAAAGACGAUUUUACUGCUGGAAGCUGCAAGCAAACGCCUAAAGAACAAACUGAAGCAAAGGAGUCAAACCCAGUUCACUGGUGAAGAGAAGCAGAGGAAAUGUUUGUCUGCAGCUAAAUAAAGCAGGAAGACACUGAGCUGCUCAGGUGUUCCUGAUAACACCAAGCUGCUCAGGUGUUCCUGAUAACACCUAGCAGCCACCUGGACAGCCAAUAGGAACACAGCUUAAUGGAAGUCCAGAGGGCUGGCUUAGUGAAGGAAAUUUAGUUUAAAGUUGAAGCAGAAAGUUAACAAAGAAAGUUGAAAACCACCUUCUGAUCCCUGAAAUCUCUG